rnacentral:rRNA from 1 species
UACAGGAGUCAGCAGUGUUGUCGAUUUACUGGGCGUAAAGGGCGCGUAGGCGGUUUGCUGAGUCAUGUGUGAAAGGCCUGGGCUUAACCUGGGAGGUGCAUGUGAGACGGGCAGACUGGAGUACGGUAGAGGAGAGCGGAAUUCCUAGUGUAGAGGUGAAAUUCGUAGAUAUUAGGAGGAACACCGAUGGCGAAGGCAGCUUUCUGGGCCGGCAACUGACGCUGAGGCGCGAGAGCGUGGGGAGCAAACAGG